rnacentral:tRNA from 1 species
UGUAGCUCAGUGGUAGGGUGCUUGCCUCGCAAGCAUGAGGCACUGGGUUCGAUCCUCAGUA